UCUAUUUUUGUGCUCAUUUUGCAGGGAGUUAUACAAUUAUAACGAUGUCAAGAUUCCCCUGGUAUUGACUGACCUUGAGAAGCUGGAGAAUAAACCUGAACCAAAAGAAGUAUCAGAUGGGUCUCACUCAGCAUUGAAGGCAGAGUUCUCCCUCCCUAGUUCUUGCUACGCUACGAUGGCCCUCAGAGAGGUGAUGAAGGUUGAUACCUCAGCCGUACACCAAUCAACACUCAACCAAUGAAUGAAGUCCACUAUCCCAUUACAUAUGGGAACCACGCACUCCAAACCACGCUCUCCGACCAUGUAUUAAGAAAUCAUGUACAUUUUUAGCAGCAAAAUGGAGAUUGGCAUGAUAUUAUUUGUUAAAUAUAGUCACACAUUGUUCACCUUGUAUCAAAAGAUAAACGUGCAGGAUCAUUUGAUAUUCCAUCUAUGAUUUUGGUGUAGCGGUCCCUUCCACCCAAACGUGCGGACCAUUUGAUAUUCCAUUUACGAUUUUGGUGUAGUGGGGGCCCUUCCACCCAAACGUCUCCCUGCAAAAUAAUCUCAGAGCUCAACAACUGUGAAAGGUUUUACCUCUGUGUACUAUUCAGUGAUGUUGUUUGAAUUUACAUCACAGGCUGCCUAUAUGAAUUAUCUUUUGCCUCAUUUGUGUGAUAUUCCACUUGAGGAAAGAAAAAGUUUGACAUCAUAUUAGCAUUGCUAGUAUCUUGCUAUUAAUCAUCUGAAAGCAAAGGAAUCUGAAAAAAAGUAUGUGAAGGCUCACCGAAACUUUACAUGACCUUUAACCUUAUGAGAAUGAGGGAAUUCAGUCUUCAACAGAUGAUUGGAAUGCAAUGCUUAAGAGGCAUGAAAACUUGAAAAAAUAAUAUACCAAUUCAGGACAUUUAUCUUUCCAUCUUGUUGGUGGACUAUGGCUGCUUGGCGAACGUUUCUCAAAAAGAUUGAGCAUUCCACUUGUUUAGUAAGACCCCAAUUUCACUCACUUUGUUGGAUUGGUCUACGGUAGACCGAUCAUCUAGAUCCCUCCAGAGGUACGGUUUGCUUGUCUUCACACUCAUUGCAAUUCUUACCCUAAUGAGACCUGUGAUGCCAUAACAACAGGAACAGUUCCUGUUACUAUGACAGCAAACAACAUUUUUGUGCAGAAUCUAACAACUGUAUGUACUGCCAGCCUGAUUGCCAAGUCCUGGUUUGGUUUGGUUUCCUUUCACAAAAUUACUUUUUAUUUUCCUUGUUUAAUGUUCCCUUUCCAUCUUUCAUUUGUGAUAGUAUCUGCCGUAUACCCUCACAGUGAUUAAAUUAGGAAUACUCCUAAGGGAAUAAAGAUGGUCCACACAUUGUGUACUUGAAUGAAUUCAAUGACCGGGUUAGUAAUGAUAUCUGUCAAGCUCUUAGAGGUAAUAUACAAAUCCAGAUUUAUUGUUUUAUUAUUAUAUUGAUAUAGCUUUUAUCUUGUACCUAAAAUGUUUUGAUAGUGAGCUUGUCUUUCUUCUUAGAGUUCAGCUUGAUAUAUGGAUUGUUUAAGCUGAUACCAUGACCUGUAUUUUCAUAACAGGUAAACAAUAAAAAGAGGAACCAGUAACCAGAUAAGUUAAUUUGCAUUAGAACUUAGUUGAACUCGGCUACUCCUUGUCAUUCACAUCAGGCCUGAUAAUUCCCUGAUUAUUUUUUUAAUUUUUAAAAUUUUUAAAUUUUUAAAAUGUUUAAAUCAUGAUUUUUUUCUUCAAAAGUGAAUGAUCCGUGAGAUCUGAAAUUAGGUGGGUGAGGUGCAGUUUUUUCAUGACUUGCUUAAACGCCCCAGCACCUCGCUUUGCUUGGAUUUCGCAAACUUUUUAACUCUGACUAUCGCCCCUGAGUCACAUCCACAUUUUAUUAAAUGUUGCAUCGUCCUGUAUCCUAUGGGAAUGGGCCUCAUUGAAGAUACACAUACUGGUAUGUAAUUUUAGUGACACAGGAAGGAUUAUAAUUUUUCUUUCACCUGACUCUAAAUUCAGUGAUUGUAAAUCUUAAAUUUGUUUGCUGAUUUCUAUGAAGGGAGCCCAUAGACUUUAUUUUCCGAUAUCAUGUUCCAUGUCCUUGCCUAUGACAAAAGGAAAUGACUCCAGUCUUCUCACUCCCAUAUUAUGAAUUUAAAAAAAGAAAAGCCAGCUAUUAAUGAUGGGGGGCAUGCAUGUGACGUUUUAGAUGAAAGAUCCUCUUUUCUCUUUUUUACUACUGGAAAAAAAGAAGUGUUAUGUCAAAAAUACUCAAUAAACGAUCAUGUUUUAUAUAUA